rnacentral:rRNA from 1 species
AUGGCCUUUACCCGCGCUAACGCGGUGGCCAGGUUACUGGUGAGUGUGCUGGACAUUGAGUUUGUGCCUGACGUGGUCAAGUGGACUCAUAAGGGCCUCAUGUAUAACCUUGAUAUAGAGUUUGAGGAUUCUGAGUACUUCGCUGAGGCUCUGGCAGGGAUGGAUGUAGACAGGCAUGAUAAGAAUGAUGGUUCGGGUAAUUCGGAGGAGCGAGGGGGGGACGCUGGGCAUGAGUUUCCCAAUGGCCCGGAUACUGACACUCAGACGCUCGGGAAAGGAGUUGCACCCACUAUGUCUGUGCUGAUGAAUACUUUGAGAUUUGAUUCUUUUCAGCCAGCUUUCGCGCCUCCCAGACUGUGGAGCGACAGGGUUGACUCUGAGGACGUGUUAGAGCGCACGUUACCUCCACUGGACUUUGUCGAGGCUGCGGGAUCUCUGGAGGAGAGGGACGGUCUUUAUGUGACCUACUGUUCUCCCUCUUCUGCUGCUGGUUCGACGCUCGGGAGGACUUCGUCAGGACUGGCAGCAUUGGUGAUGCUGACAUCGCGCGAUGAAAGGGCUGGUUUGGGAGGGGGGCCCUGGCAGGAGGCCUCGGUUCCUUCCUCUCCAGCGGUGGUCGGGGUGGCCGUACCUGCGGCGCCGGGUGACCACCUGAUGAUGGCUAGGUUGGUUUUUCGGCCCGAGUCGAGUCUGACUCCCAGGUCGGGAGGGGGAAGGGGCCAGGAGGCCCCCGUCCUCUCUUCUCCUCGCGGGUCUCCGGGUGGGGAGCAUGGGCAGGCGGCCCGGCCCUCACUUGCGUCGCGCUCGCCGGCGGUUGACUGCAGUUCUCCGACUUGUCUUGCCGGGCCGGGCAUUGAGGGUGGGACAGGAGGCCUUACCCAAACGGGGCGACCCGGGAGGAGGUCAUCACCUUUGGCGGUAUUCCGGAUCCUGCAUCUCAGGGCAGACGGAUGA